CUGGGCUUGCAGGAUAUGCCGCCAUGCUGCCCAGAGGCCCCGGAAACACCCUGUCCGCUCUGAAGGGGACAGGGUAGGGCUUGGAGAAGUGUUUAGAUCACAGCUCUGUUUUCCUCCUGUGUCCAGCCGUUUGGCUGAACCCAGACUGGGAACAGAAUAUGCAGAAUUAUCUUGGCUCCUAAGGCUCUCUCUUCUUUAUUCUCCAUAGGUUCCCUAGGACUAACCUCUAGGGUGGAGCCCUGUGACUCCCAUGUUGGAGAGGCUGGAGUCCAUCUUUAGACUUGGUGAACUUGGCUUCCAAGAAAACGAGAUCAGUGACCAGCUCAUCCAUCCUGUUUAUGGAUCAGCUUAUGGCCCAGAUCACCCUGCUGGUAAGUGGGCAAAAAUGGAGGGACAGGAGGAUGGCUUCUCUCUGUCCGUCUUCCUUCCUUCCCUCCCUCCCUUCCUCCCUUCCUUCCUUCCCUCCCUCCUCUCUUCCUUCCUUCCUUUUUUACAUUAUGUUAGUUUCCCUUUCUCUUUCUUCUUCUUUUUUUUUGAAUUCUGACAAGUUUUUAAGCCCUAGGGUCUUUGUAUUUACCAGGUGGAAGUGAGUAAGCAGUAAUACUAACAAUUCCAAGGACGUGUUUGAUCACUUCUCUCCUUCCUGAAAGGCCUCAAUACAAGACAUAGUGCUUUCAGACCUGAGGAAGCAAAGUUUAUUUUUUUAUUUGUAGGAACUUGCCUUGAAUUCUGAGAGGGGAAAAUAAACCAAGCUAGCAAACAUAAAGGCUUUUUUUU
rnacentral:lncRNA from 1 species